UACGGGGGGGGGCAAGCGUUGUUCGGAAUUACUGGGCGUAAAGGGUUCGUAGGUGGCCAACUAAGUCAGACGUGAAAUCCCUCAGCUCAACUGGGGAACUGCGUCUGAUACUGGAUGGCUUGAAUCCGGGAGAGGGAUGCAGAAUUCCAGGUGUAGCGGUGAAAUGCGUAGAUAUCUGGAGGAAUACCGGUGGCGAAGGCGCACAUCCUGGACCGGAUUGACGCUGAGGAGCGAAAGCCAGGGGAGCAAACGGGG
rnacentral:rRNA from 1 species